GUUAAGCGACUAAGCGUACACGGUGGAUGCCCUGGCAGUCAGAGGCGAUGAAGGACGUGCUAAUCUGCGAUAAGCGUCGGUAAGGUGAUAUGAACCGUUAUAACCGGCGAUUUCCGAAUGGGGAAACCCAGUGUGUUUCGACACACUAUCAUUAACUGAAUCCAUAGGUUAAUGAGGCGAACCGGGGGAACUGAAACAUCUAAGUACCCCGAGGAAAAGAAAUCAACCGAGAUUCCCCCAGUAGCGGCGAGCGAACGGGGAGCAGCCCAGAGCCUGAAUCAGUGUGUGUGUUAGUGGAAGCGUCUGGAAAGGCGCGCGAUACAGGGUGACAGCCCCGUACACAAAAAUGCACAUGCUGUGAGCUCGAUGAGUAGGGCGGGACACGUGGUAUCCUGUCUGAAUAUGGGGGGACCAUCCUCCAAGGCUAAAUACUCCUGACUGACCGAUAGUGAACCAGUACCGUGAGGGAAAGGCGAAAAGAACCCCGGCGAGGGGAGUGAAAAAGAACCUGAAACCGUGUACGUACAAGCAGUGGGAGCACGCUUAGGCGUGUGACUGCGUACCUUUUGUAUAAUGGGUCAGCGACUUAUAUUCUGUAGCAAGGUUAACCGAAUAGGGGAGCCGAAGGGAAACCGAGUCUUAACUGGGCGUUAAGUUGCAGGGUAUAGACCCGAAACCCGGUGAUCUAGCCAUGGGCAGGUUGAAGGUUGGGUAACACUAACUGGAGGACCGAACCGACUAAUGUUGAAAAAUUAGCGGAUGACUUGUGGCUGGGGGUGAAAGGCCAAUCAAACCGGGAGAUAGCUGGUUCUCCCCGAAAGCUAUUUAGGUAGCGCCUCGUGAAUUCAUCUCCGGGGGUAGAGCACUGUUUCGGCAAGGGGGUCAUCCCGACUUACCAACCCGAUGCAAACUGCGAAUACCGGAGAAUGUUAUCACGGGAGACACACGGCGGGUGCUAACGUCCGUCGUGAAGAGGGAAACAACCCAGACCGCCAGCUAAGGUCCCAAAGUCAUGGUUAAGUGGGAAACGAUGUGGGAAGGCCCAGACAGCCAGGAUGUUGGCUUAGAAGCAGCCAUCAUUUAAAGAAAGCGUAAUAGCUCACUGGUCGAGUCGGCCUGCGCGGAAGAUGUAACGGGGCUAAACCAUGCACCGAAGCUGCGGCAGCGACACUAUGU
rnacentral:rRNA from 1 species